CAGCAGCCACGGUAAUACGUAGGUGGCAAGCGUUGUCCGGAAUUAUUGGGCGUAAAGGGUGCGUAGGCGGUUUGAUAAGUCAUCUGUGAAAUCUCUGGGCUCAACCCAGAGUCUGCAGGCGAAACUGUCGGGCUUGAGUAUGGGAGAGGUGAGUGGAAUUUCCGGUGUAGCGGUGAAAUGCGUAGAUAUCGGAAGGAACACCUGUGGCGAAAGCGGCUCACUGGACCAUAACUGACGCUGAUGCACGAAAGCUAGGGGAGCAAAUGGGAUUAGAUACCCCUGUAGUCCCUGUCUCUUAUAC
rnacentral:rRNA from 1 species